rnacentral:lncRNA from 1 species
AGGUUUUUUUCUAUAUGCAGCGCAGUUGGCCGCAUAGUUUUUUUCACCCUCCGAGGGUUGACGCGGGUUCGAGAUUUUUUUUUAAUAUUUUUUUUUUGUGGUCAAACAGUAGUUUGCUUGUUUUUAAAUACCUUUUGGUAUAAUUUUGUAGAUAUUGGGGGAUUUUUUUUUGAGAUUUUACAGUCUCGAACUUGCGUCAGGUUUUUUUGAUUCUGAUAUUUUUUUGGUAGGUUUAGUUUUCUUGCCUUCAGAUUUUGUUUUUUUUUAUGAAAGUCGCUGAGGACAGCGAGCGGUUCACCUACGUUGAACCUUAAAUCGGGAAGGGGGGUAUUGUAACGUAGCAGAUUUUUUGAUAGUCGUAAUUAAAUAUUUUGGAUAGAUUUAAUUUUUGAAUGAAACACUUCCUUCUCGUUCAUUGCAUUAUCUGUUGCACUUCAAAUGCACAUAUUUAUGUUUAUCUGUUGUAGGGUUGCCAUACAACAAGUAUUAUUCGAAAUUGUAGGUAUUUUGGCUGUCAUUCCAGGAAAACUUUGUAUAGUUUUGAUAUACUUUAAGUAUUGAUUUUUGGAAAAUAUAAUAUUUUAGAGACAUGAUAACAAAUGUUAUCAUAGGUUUUUUAAGGCUGUUCUGGAAUGAUAUUUGUUAGGUUUUGUUUACUUCAAGGUCUGAUACAGAAACUGGAGUAAUUUUCAUUUAAUGAAUUAGAGUAUUUUAUUGUUUAUUCGUUUGCCACCCGGCUUUUGUUUUGGGUCCUUUAAAUUCGAGAUCAUUCAGUGCGCCGUUCUUUCUGUGACGAGAUCCUCUUGUAUAGUGAUCGGACGGCCGUAUAAGGGCCUGGAGCCCGGCAUGCCACGUGCUGCCGUGGCGUUCCAUAUUUUGUGUGGUGCGUUCUGUCAGUCUGACUGGCAGAAACAUGCUAAGGGUGGGAGUGCUCCUUGGAGAUCCUCGGUCUGCAGUCUGCAGGUCUCCGGAGUCGGGAAGAAGUAAAGAAUUAGAGAAUUGCAGAAGUAAAGAAUUUAACAAGAACUUUUGCAAUUUUGAUGUGCAAGGAAACUUCUUUGGCUUACUGGCGCAAGGUGUCUUUGGACCUUGUUUUCGUAUGGAAGGGUCAGCCCUGUCCACGUGGCGAGGGGGCGUCAGCACCGGAGUCCGGGGAGCAGCCGGCUCAUCCCUGACAAGGUGUGUCUCCUGCCCGUUUCCUGCCGGUAAUGCUGUGUAAUUCAGGUUUUUAAUUUCUGUGUAAAGUAAUUUCUGAUUUCAUUUAUUUUGAGAAUUCUGGUGCAUAACUUUAGGUAAAUUCAUAUUUAGUUUUUGUAGAAUAAAUGGUUGUAAGAAACCUUUUCCUGGACCCUCUUAAAGCGGCCCAGCUUUACCACUGAGCGUAGUUCUUAUUUCAUAUAUGGUGUCAAAUUUAGUAUUUUGGAAACAUUAACUUAAACCUAUCUGUAAGGCAAGAUUUUGGUAUAAUAAAUAUAUAAAAUGUGA